rnacentral:rRNA from 1 species
UACGAAGGGGGCUAGCGUUGCUCGGAAUCACUGGGCGUAAAGGGUGCGUAGGCGGGUCUUUAAGUCAGGGGUGAAAUCCUGGAGCUCAACUCCAGAACUGCCUUUGAUACUGAAGAUCUUGAGUUCGGGGAGAGGUGAGUGGAACUGCGAGUGUAGAGGUGAAAUUCGUAGAUAUUCGCAAGAACACCAGUGGCGAAGGCGGCUCACUGGCCCGAUACUGACGCUGAGGCACGAAAGCGUGGGGGAGCAAACAG